rnacentral:tRNA from 1 species
CGCGGGGUAGCUCGGCCAGCUCAGAGCAGCCGGAGCAUUCCGGUGGUCGCGGGUUCGAAUCUCCGCCCCCGCAC